ACCCUAUCAAUGUGGUCUCUGCU
rnacentral:miRNA from 15 species